AUGGUUUUACAUCCCGAAGGAUAAUCUAUUCGCCUAAGUCAAAUCUGGCCCGAGGGUGAGAUGCACCCUUUGGUCAGAUGUUGGAGCCAGUUUCAACCGAAUGUAUAUUCAUGGAUGAGCGAUUUGUCCCCAGAAAAAAAUACUACGAUUCAACUGGUCCGCUGAGGUAAAUUCGGAGGUUAUACUACACUAGGCCUGGGCACCAAAUGGACAUUUUACGGAUGGUAAUGAAUAUUAUUUAGUUAAAAAUAAAAAACAGUGAAGUAAAUGUGAUAACUUUGUCCGUAAUAAGUAAAUAACAUAAGUAUCUUAAAAGAUAACAUCUACAGAAUUGAGAUAGGUCGCUACAAUAACAAGUGAAUUACUCAGCACCUGUGCCCUUGGGCAUCCGUCAUCAAACCGAUCCAUGUUACCAGCAUGACAUCACAGCGAUGACAUAGCCCAAAUAAUCUCCAUCACCAUCCGUUUGAGUAUCCGUGAGUUGUGACGUCAUACUUAAGUAACAGAUACAGCCGAUAUUGUUCUUACAUCAGAGAGUAUUAGACAUAGA